GCCAGUGGGCAGUUUGCACCCCCUGAUUCCUGAAGAGACCGGCCAAAGUACCUGUCAGGAUCAGGGGGUUUUACUU
rnacentral:antisense_RNA from 1 species